GUGAUGUUUUCCAGCCCCUGCUGUGCAUCUGCAGCUGCGCCGGGGCUGGGGAUGCAUCCCCACUGGAUGUGCUGCCAGCAGCUGGG